rnacentral:sRNA from 1 species
GCGGAGACGCAUGUUUCCGUUCACUCCUCACACCACACUCCGCCUGAACACUGUUCGGGCGGUU